rnacentral:rRNA from 1 species
AGCGACGAUUCUUGAAAGAGGAUUUCCCUUCGGGGCGCGAAACUAGGUGCUGCAUGGUUGUCGUCAGCUCGUGCCGUGAGGUGUCGGGUUAAGUCCCAUAACGAGCGCAACCCCUACCGUUAGUUGCUAGCAUGUAAUGAUGAGCACUCUAACGGGACUGCCACCGUAAGGUGAGAGGAAGGCGGGGAUGACGUCAAAUCAGCACGGCCCUUACACCCAGGGCUACACACGUGUUACAAUGGCCGGUACAGAGGGCCGCUACCAGGUGACU